UAGUAACGGCGAGUGAAGAGGGAAAGCUCAAAUUUUGAAUCUGGUGUCUUUGUCACCUGAGUUGUAAUCUAGAGAAGUGUUUUUGCCUCGGACCACGCAUAAAUUCCCUGGAAUGGGGUGUCAAAGAGGGUGAGAAUCCCGUUGUGGUGUGGACUCCCUUGGCUUUGUGAUACACUCUCAACGAGUCGAGUUGUUUGGGAAGCAGCUCAAAAUGGGUGGUAAAUUCCAUCUAAAGCUAAAUAUUGGCGAGAGACCGAUAGGAACAAGUACCGUGAGGGAAAGAUGAAAAGCACUUUGGAAAGAGAGUGAAACAGUACGUAAAUUGUUGAAAGGGAAACGCUUGAAGU
rnacentral:rRNA from 1 species